rnacentral:rRNA from 1 species
UGGAUCCAGACUUUGAUUAUGGCUCAGGACGAACGCUGGCGGCGUGCUUAACACAUGCAAGUCGAACGGAGUGCCUCGGAAAGAGAUUUCGGUCAAUGGAAGAGGUUACUUAGUGGCGGACGGGUGAGUAACGCGUGAGGAACCUGCCUUUCAGAGGGGGACAACAGUUGGAAACGACUGCUAAUACCGCAUAAUAUAUGUUUGUCGCAUGGCAGACAUAUCAAAGAUUUAUCGCUGAGAGAUGGCCUCGCGUCUGAUUAGCUAGUUGGUGAGGUAACGGCCCACCAAGGCGACGAUCAGUAGCCGGACUGAGAGGUUGGCCGGCCACAUUGGGACUGAGAUACGGCCCAGACUCCUACGGGAGGCAGCAGUGGGGAAUAUUGGGCAAUGGGCGCAAGCCUGACCCAGCAACGCCGCGUGAAGGAAGAAGGCUUUCGGGUUGUAAACUUCUUUUAAGAGGGAAGAGCAGAAGACGGUACCUCUUGAAUAAGCUCCGGCUAACUACGUGCCAGCAGCCGCGGUAAUACGUAGGGAGCGAGCGUUGUCCGGAUUUACUGGGUGUAAAGGGCGUGCAGCCGGGAAGACAAGUCAGAUGUGAAAUCCCGCGGCUCAACCGCGGAACUGCAUUUGAAACUGUAUUUCUUGAGUACUGGAGAGGCAGACGGAAUUCCUAGUGUAGCGGUGAAAUGCGUAGAUAUUAGGAGGAACACCAGUGGCGAAGGCGGUCUGCUGGACAGCAACUGACGGUGAGGCGCGAAAGCGUGGGGAGCAAACAGGAUUAGAUACCCUGGUAGUCCACGCUGUAAACGAUGGAUACUAGGUGUGCGGGGACUGACCCCCUGCGUGCCGCAGUUAACACAAUAAGUAUCCCACCUGGGGAGUACGAUCGCAAGGUUGCAACUCAAAG